UGAUUUGUAUCUGGGGUGGCUGAGCUUUUGUCUGGCUUACGUAACGGGAGCUGCUGACAACACGUGGGUGCUGAGCCGAGGGCCGGGAGAACGGCCCGGAUCACCGAGGGAGACGGAAAGGUCACGAAAAAGCCCACUGCGUCAGCCCUCAGUGGGCCGAGGAGGUCAGAUCCCUGCAAGUGUUUUAUCUGCGAGGCUUUAAGAGUGUUUAUUUAUAUGCGGAAGAAGAAGCAGAACCAGAAUCACGUGACCAAACAUGUUUGCUGUUCUGAAGAACUUCGCUUAUUCCGGAGGGUUUAGGGAGUUUACGGCAGCGUUGGAGGAGCAGAACAUUCCUGGAGCGGAGAAGGCGCCACAACAUUGUUAAUACGCCGUGAGUUAUGCAGUCUAGAAUAAUCUCUGCGAAGCCAUCGUCUGAUGAUCCUGAGGUGCACACAAUGGAACUUAUCUCAAGAAUUAAAAUUGAGCUCGAAACAAGAUGCAAGAAUGGAAAUAAUGAGAGCAAUUUGAGGGGGAAAAGAAAGCAGACAUCUUUGGACAUAAUCUGCACAAAAACCUGGUUCCAUGUCAAUUUUGUUUCUUGGUGAAAAAUAAGAAUUGUUAUCAUGCUCCCAAAAAAAACGCUUUUAUAUAAAGCUGUCUAAAUGGUUUAUUGUUUUAAGUCCAGACUCGUGGCUAUUCUCAGUCCAGGUUGAAGUCAUUACAAACUGCCCACAGCAACAACCACCAGGCCUUUUAAUGCUUUGUCAUGCUUCGCUGUGUGGGUGACUUGAGCAAGGUCACUCAUUACGCCGCGGCCCAAAUUAAGAGAACGGCCCCGAAACCGCAGCUUUUUUAGAUGCUAGCUGUAGCCUAGCAAAAAAAAAAAAAUAAAUAAAAAUGCAAGGAAUUAAGUAGAGCUCCCGGACUGGGUUCACUGCAAAGAGACACAGCCGUGUUAAUCUUCCUGCAUUAAAAUGCCAAUCAAACAUUACAGAGCAGGGACAGGUUUUUAAUCACAUGCCUUUUUCCUUUUGUCACGUAGUUUAUUUAUGAUCAGAUCACGAGCUGGGACUUUUGCCUAACCUGCUUCUCUGCAUGCCAGCCAAAGAGAAAGCCAGACACUGCCUACCUACCUACGUACAGGUCAUGCACUGUCACCUGUCUAAUGUGGAUAAUUCACCAUUUCACGUUUGACUCGCUGAGGUUUUUCUCUCCUUUCAUAAUAAAGAAGGAGGAAGGAGGGUGAAAGAAUAGACCUGAGAAUUAUUUCAUCCGCACAGUCUUGCGUUGAGGCCGAGUUAUUCUGUUUCCCCUUUAACGGUCAGCACAUGAUGAAUGGCCACGUCUAUAAAUGUGUCAGCUCUAUUUUAGUUCAAUCACGUAAACCUUUCCUGUGAUGUCGGUGAAUGCAACACACCCUCCUCGAGUAACGAGAUAAAGGCCGUAAAGGUAAAAGCACACAGGCUCCAUCUCUGCUGCAGAGAGACGGUGGGAUAGAAAGUCUCUUCCACCAGCCAGGUACGACCACAGGAUGAUAAACUGCUGCAGAUUUAGAAACGCGAGUGCAGAAAUGACCAAAAUAACACAAUCUUUCAAGGCUAAAAAAAAAAUUCUGCAUGACUCAGGCAGUGGUGAUGUCUAAUAAAGGGGAAUUUGGAAGAAAUUCGUACAUAUCCACAUGACUAAUUCACUUGCUGUAAAUCUGUGUUUUUUUUUUUUGCUGAGUCAAAUUAAUGUCUGUUUUAGGUGGGGACGUCCCGGUCGGUAUCAGGGAGAUCAGAAUUCAGACGUGAGCCGAGUCAUGAACCAAAACCAGGUCCCUGCAGCAUCGAAACAUCUUAGCGGUGGUUUCAAAGCUACCAAGAAAAUCAGAGAAGAAGAAGAACCAAACUCAAACAAAAUAAGUCAGCCAGAAAGAAGUUGCGCAAUGUUGAUUUUUUUUGCGAUAUAGUAAGAGAUGGUUAUUCAACAAUGCCACAAAAACAAAACAGAGUCAGUCCACUCAGAUUAAAGGGCUGCACCACACCAACAACAAACACCGAACGCUGCGUUUUAAACAAAAGUUUCCUGGAGACAAACCUUCCACAGAGCAGAGAGGGGUUGCGGGAGUUUGUGGCAGCGUUGGAUAACCGAUAAACUGGAAAACCUAUCACAGACGCAUCUGUGUGUUUUGGCAAAUAAGCGACGAGAAACAGGAGCGCAGAGAUGACUAACAAGGUCUACAGAGAUUGUUCAUUUUUUGCUAAAAUAACACAAUGCUUCAAGGCUCCAGAAAUCCACAGUGACUCAGGCGGUGGCGACGCCUAAUAAGGAGAAUUUGGAGGAAAUACUUGCACAUCCACAUGAUUGAUUCACGCUCUAAAUCUGUGCUGUUUUCUCUUGUUUUUUGCGGCGUCGUGAGUCAACCUAAGUGCUUAAAUGUUUGUUAAAGGCGUCGCACGCUUCCACGGACACCUGUAUAAAAACAGAGCAGAGCGAUUGCUUCCUCGUUCGUUCUCUGAGAGUUGUUUUUUGUUUUUUUUUGCUCCAGAAACAGAGUGGGUUCGCUCGCUGGGAACAAUCAAUCACAGUAAACACCUUCCGACUGAAGGAAACCCACAAGAGGAAGAAAAACAAAGGUGUGGUUGGACGGCUUGUCUUUAGCUUUAUCUGUGGUCGUGCUUGUAAUCUGGUUACUGACUGAGCCUGGUCAGCCUACACUCUUUUAUCAUUACAUAACACGAGAGCUGCAGCUGGGAAGGAGGCCGACCACGACUGCCUGGCUGGGAACGGGAGGGAAAACCGAGACCUUUUUCUUUUUUCCUCCUUCUUUCUUAUUUACGCAGUUCUUCCAAAGUUUCUUUUCAUGUGAACCGAGCAGCACAAUGGGCCCCUGCUGCAGAAUAAAUCUCUGCUUGUAGGAAGUGCUGCUUCAGUCCCCUAGACAUUUACAAGCAAACAGGUUUAAAAAAAGAAACGGCCCCUUAUCGGUGAACCCUUUGCAGCCCUCGGACGAGAAUCGGAGCAAUGCAGAAUGUGAGGCUGACGCUGUUGGUGGACUGGUGGUGUUGUCAGACCCAGAUAAUUAUGCUCAACAGAAAAAAAAAAAAAAAAACGCUGAGGCUGUGAAGGAAACACAGAAGAGACCUCAGCCUAUUUUGUCAUUUUCUGCACAGUUAGUUAUCUUCCAAGGGCAAGUGGAUGCACCGUGGGAAUAGCGUAGGAACAUCACUUUGCACAGGGCUUACAUAAUGCCGACGCAUAACAUAAGAAGCAUUGUGGCGCAGAUAUAAGGUAACGUACGGCUGGUGCAGAGAAACGGUUUGCAUCAUCCUCCUCCUGCAGCUAAUCAUUAGCCACAACAUUAAAACCACUGACAGGAGCAGUAAAUAAGUCCCAUAGCAAUGAAACUCCUGGAUGGCAGCAGGAUGCAGCCAGGAUUCACUGGAAACCAAGCUGUUAUCAGGAAGGUGGUCAUAAUGUUGUGCCUAAUUGGUAUAUACAGCAAAUAAACACUCUGAACUACUUCCUCACUACAACCGUGCUGAAGGAGGGGCCUUUGAGCUGCUAUUGGUUUACAUCUCAGAGAUCAAUACUGUAAAUUGGAGUCUAACCACUUCCUUUCAUUGGAGAAAAAUCGAUGGGACCCACAUCCACAAAGCUGUUGCUGACAUGUGAAUUAUAGGGACUCGUUGGGCCGUUUCAAAGUCCAUUAGCUACGCGCGAAUCCGAGGAAGCUUCAGAGCCCGCGACGAAGCUGCAGCAAAAGACUGGUGGUUAUCUUCUUCCCCAAAUAAGGACAUUCAUCAUUUUCACUGCUCGGAUUACGCUGCAAGAAGUGGCAAGUGUUUACAAACAGGACGGAGGGGGGGCGAAUUUAAAAAUGAAACGGGAGUAGGAGAGAGAAUCGGCCUCCCUACAAGGGAAUUAAAACGCAUUUCAGGCCCUGAUGAAGGCUUAGCCACCAGCUGUGGGCGUCUGCGUAACGCGUAAGACAACACCGGGACGAAUGCACACAUAGCUGAUGUCAGAGAUUCCACACCGUGCCCGCCCGCCUGCCCUCUCCGAGGCCACGCCACUGGAGCCGGCCUCGUCCACAAAGCUGCCCAGUCAUCAAACAAAAAUUCGCCAAGUCUGACUCCCCCUCUCGCUCGGGCCUCCUCCCUCCCUCCCGUUCUCAUUCGCCCGGCACCAAACUUGAUCCGUGACAAUCACAUUUUUUCCCCGUGAGAGAGCUCGAGGAGGGGGGAAGAAGAUCCACUUACGGAUCAUUUGACCUCGGUUUUAUUGUUUGGAUUGUGUGCAGAGAGUCAAAGGAUCCCCUGAGUUGCAGCAGCUUUGAACCUUGUGACCGUGAGGCACACAACUGAAAAUCAUCCGGUCUAAAAAUAGUUCGCAGAAUUUAUGCCACACACAAAGAAAAAAGGGACAGGUUUGGGUCAACUAUUCGUACUAGACGUCAUCCCUUAACACCUAUCGGACACCGGAGAGCUUGUAUCUGUCCUCACACCUAAACCAGAGCAGUAACAGCUGUGUAAGCAACACUCCCAAAUGCAAAUCAUCACCUAAUCUCUGAGUUGCCAGAACUAGAGCAACCUCCUGUUU